ACGGAAGGCAGCAGUGAGGAAUAUUGGUCAAUGGUCGGAAGACUGAACCAGCCAAGUCGCGUGCAGGAAGACGGUCCUAUGGAUUGUAAACUGCUUUUGUACGGGAAUAAAGUGGGGGACGUGUCCCCCUUGGAAUGUACCGUAAGAAUAAGGGUCGGCUAACUCCGUGCCAGCAGCCGCGGUAAUACGGAGGACCCGAGCGUUAUCCGGAUUUAUUGGGUUUAAAGGGUGCGCAGGCGGAGGAUUAAGUCAGCGGUGAAAUUCUCAUGCUCAACAUGAGAACUGCCAUUGAUACUGGUCCCCUUGAGAGAUGUCGAGGAUGGCGGAAUGUGAUGUGUAGCGGUGAAAUGCUUAGAUAUGACGAAGAACACCGAUUGCGUAGGCAGCAGACCAGGCCGUAAAUGACGCUCAUGCACGAAAGUGCGGGGAUCGAACAGGAUUAGAUACCCUGGUA
rnacentral:rRNA from 1 species